rnacentral:rRNA from 1 species
GACGUAGGGCGCGAGCGUUGUCCGGAUUUAUUGGGCGUAAAGAGCUCGUAGGCGGCUUGUUGCGUCGGCUGUGAAAACCCGCGGCUUAACCGUGGGCUUGCAGCCGAUACGGGCAGGCUAGAGUUCGGUAGGGGAGACUGGAAUUCCUGGUGUAGCGGUGAAAUGCGCAGAUAUCAGGAAGAACACCCGUGGCGAAGGCGGUUCUCUGGGACGGUACUGACGCUGAGACGCGAAAGCGUGGGGAGCGAACAGG